UCGCGAUUACCUUAAUGUCUGAAUAUUUCGUUCCGAAUAUUAUGUAAAUGUAAAAUUGUGAAACUUUGUUUAUGUGAUUGGCUUUAUUAGAGAAAACGAUGAAUGCCGAAUCCCUUGCACAAGUUUUAUGUCAGAAAUACUGUUCCUUUAAGACGAUUAUAUGGUAAAUAUGUAUUAUUCAAAAGAGAAAAGUGAGAAACUACUUCAGUUGCCGCGGGUACGAGAUUAACAGCAUUUGCUAGUACAAAAGCGUUCGAAUGCAAAGAUAUCAUGCUAUCAUUAAACCAUUCUCUUCCCGUUUUAGGCAUAUGUUGCUCGUGGACUUUAUUCGCAGGAUUCUAUGUCUUUACUCCGAUAACGUUGGACCUGCUAAUGCCUUUGAACCAAUCUCGGAGACGUUAUUUUUCCUACUUAACAAUGUUUUCUCACGACCGCAUAGAGUAUGUCGAUAUGGUAUACAUGAAUAUUCUAGUUGUUUAUACAAUUGGAAUGUUGUGUCUGGUGGGUACGGAACUGACGUUGGCUGUGUUUGCCCACUGGAUGUGCGGAAUGUUCGAGAUAACUAGACAUACGGCACGAACAAAUUCACGAGGAAACGAUAACAGUGGGAAUAAUAAAUCGUUGCGAGGUGUUGUCGGAUGAUUCCUCGAGUUUUUCGCACAGAUGUCCUUUAGUUACCGAAGCGAAAUGGACGUGUUCUACAAGCAGUACAACUCUUAUCGUAUCCUGCUGAGUAUCUUAGGACUCUGGCCAUAUCACAAGUCGAUUUACUCAACGAUUCACAGAAUAUCGAUCUCUGUCACUAUGCUCGCCUUUAUUGUUUUCCAGGUAUUAUGGCUUUUCAAAUCUGGUAUUACAUUUCGAGGUUGCAUCGUAACGUUAUCUGCAACCUGCCCAGUUGUGAUCUAUUUCACGCGAUAUGUCUCUUCCGUAGCAAUGUUCCCAGUGGUACGUGAUGCUCUAAAGUGAACUCUGUGAAGUUCAAAUAAAGACAUUCAUAUAUAUAU